GAUUGACGCUAGCGGCAGGCCUAAUACAUGCAAGUCGUACGGUAACAGGUGUAGCAAUACAUGCUGACGAGUGGCGCACGGGUGCGUAACACGUAUGCAAUCUGCCUUUAACUGGGGAACAACCCCUCGAAAGAGGGGCUAAUACCGCAUAACAUCACCGGACGGCAUCGCCUGGUGAGCAAACCUACGGGGGUUAAAGAUGAACAUGCGACUGAUUAGUUAGUUGGCGGGGUAACGGCCCACCAAGACAGCGAUCAGUAGGGGAUCUGAGAGGAUGAUCCCCCACACGGGUACUGAGACACGGACCCGACUCCUACGGGAGGCAGCAGUAAGGAAUAUUGGACAAUGGAGGCAACUCUGAUCCAGCCAUGCCGCGUGAAGGAUGAAUGCGCUAUGCGUUGUAAACUUCUUUUAUACGGGAAAAAUAUCCGCUAUUCUUAGCGGAUUGAUUGUACUGUAAGAAUAAGGGUCGGCUAACUUCGUGCCAGCAGCCGCCGUAACAC
rnacentral:rRNA from 1 species